rnacentral:misc_RNA from 1 species
GAGCGCGUUUCCUCAUCUCGUUUUGUUUUUUUUUUUGUGUGUGUAUAGAUCUUCUCGUGGGAGCUUUCCUUGGCGGUGCCGUCAACACCCACGGACACGAACAGGUGCACGUCGUGCCCAGUUCACCGAGUCGGCGCUCAUCGCACUGUUGCCUGAGAGAACGUGACGCGGAGAACGAACGGGAAAAGUAAAGGCUCAGCUGCCACAGGGCGAGAAAAGGCACCCAAAAAGGUGACGCAGCCCACACGCCUACACACGCGCUCGCAGAAGAGGAGACGUGCAGUGCGAAAACGUGUGCAACAGAAGGUGGCGACACAUCCCCCACACAUCGCUCGCCUCCCACGCUUGCGCAUUUCCCUCUCGUUCGGGCAUCCUUUCCACUUGCGCGGGCUCGAGCACACACGCGCGCUGCUCCCAAGCUCAGUGUAGCUCGUCGCCGUCCUGCCAAACGAGGCUUCUACGCAGCAGCUUCAUCGCCGGGUACGCGGGCAUCCUUUCACUUCUUUUUUGUUUUGGGGGUCUUCUCUUCUUCUUGUGGCUGCCUGUGUGAGCGGACGAGCGCCUCACGCACUGCUCCGUCAUCCGACUCCACUUUGUUUCUCGAUUUCCUGCGCCACUGCCCUCCCCCCCCUCACCGUUUUCUUUUUUUUUCUGCGUAGUCUAUCGUGACGGUAUCGCCCAUCGCUGUCUUUCAGGGAUCCUCCGCCCCGCCUCUUCACUCUCGGCGCGGCGUCCGUGCGCGUAGUCGUCGCCGCCCCUCCUUUCCCUCUAUUCUCUCAUUUUGCGUGCCCAUACAGCCUUCCGCUCAGGCCCAGGUGUGCACGCGCAUGCGGCUGCUCCCCUGCUCCGGUUUAUCGCGCUGUUCGUAGCUCUUGCUAUUCGCACGCACGUUGCCCCGCCAGCCUUCGCCCCACUCACCCGCGUGCCACCAGCACCACCCAACUACCCGAGACGCCUAUCGGUCUCCCCUACACGCACUGGUGAUACAUACGCGUAUACAUUCUUUCAUAUCUUUCGUGCUGCGGACACACGCACGCAGUCUCCGUUCGCCAACUUAAUCUGUUUGCGUCUGCGCGCGCGUGUGUGUGUGUGUGUGUGUGCUCGUGAGGAGGGUAUCACUCGAAACGGAAAGGAAACUCGGACCCGGCACAGCAGCUUCAAGUAUUUGUUCGCCUGCUUAGUCGCUCUGAGGCAAGCCCACAUCGCCAUCAUUGCCCACAACCAUGAAGCUCCGUUGUUUCUUGCUGCGCUACUACCCGCCGGGCAUCACGCUCGAGUACGAGACGUCUGCUGGGCAGGUGGGGCAGAAGACGAUCGGGCUGCUUAGUCUCACGCCGACAACGCCACUAGAGCCCUUGGUCGACAAGAUUAUCGCCGAAGAGCCGCUGCUGAACGGCAAGUACCGUGACCAGAUCUUCACGUACCUGCAGCGGCUCGUAGAGAAGCUGAUCGCUGGCAACAACCCGAACCAGACCUUCACUCUCUUCAAGAGUCUGCGUGCGCACAUGCUGCCGCUGACGAACUGCGCCUUCAACAAAAAUGGCGCGAAGUUUGUGACCGGCUCGUACGAUCGCACCUGCAAGGUGUGGGAGACGGCGACGGGCAACGAGCUCGUGUCGCUCGAGGGUCACCGGAACGUCGUCUACUGCGUCGGCUUCAACAACCCAUACGGCAACCGCGUCGCCACGGGUAGCUUCGAUAAGACGUGCAAAAUCUGGGAUGCCGAGUCGGGCCAGUGCCUGCACACACUGACCGGUCACGUGACCGAGAUCGUAUGCAUGUCUUUCAACCCGCAGAGCACGCUUAUCGGCACGGGGUCCAUGGACAACACGGCGAAGGUGUGGGAUGUGGAGACGGGCCAGGAGCUGCACACGCUGAUGGACCACACAGCCGAAAUCGUGGCACUGAACUUCAACACGUACGGCGACCUCAUCGUCACGGGCUCCUUCGACCACACGGCGAAGCUGUGGGACGUGCGAACCGGCACCGUCGUGCACACCUUGCGCGAGCACCGCGGCGAGAUCUCGUCGGUGCAGUUCAACUACGCCUCCAACUUAGUCGUCACAGGCAGCAUCGACCGUACGUGCAAGCUGUGGGACGUCGCGUCUGGCCACUGCGUGUCAACUCUGCGUGGGCACACAGACGAGGUGCUGGACGUGGCCUUCAGCGUGUCAGGCAACAUGGUGGCGAGCGCGAGCGCCGAUACGACGGCGCGGGUGUACAACACGGCGACGUGCCACUGCAUUGCCAGCCUCAACGAUCACGAGGGCGAAAUCUCGAAACUAGAGUUCAACCCACAAGGGACGAAGAUCAUCACCGCCUCCGGCGACAAGCGCUGCAACCUCUGGAGCGUCGAGACAGGCCAGGUGCUGCAGUCACUUGUCGGCCACACGGACGAAAUUUUCUCGUGCUCCUUCAACUACGAAGGCGACACAAUACUGACCGGCAGCAAGGACAAUACGUGCCGGAUCUGGAAGAGCUAAUCAAACGCGCCCACGCGAACUCCGCGGAUCCGUCGCUCGCCCUCUCCGCUGACCCUGCCUCUCACCACUGCACCCCUGCUCAUAGCUUUCACCGUCGCCGAACUAGUGUGUGCACGGCGUGAAGAAGGAGGGAGGGGGUGUAGACCGACGAGAAUCGAGUAGCGAGCUCAAGGGAGUCGCGGGCGAUGGAUCCGAAGGGGGUGGCGGUGGUGGCCGCGGAGACAGAAUCAGAGUGCGUGUAUGCUGUGUGCAUGUAAGUGUGAACGCGAAGGUUUGUAGGAUAUCACCGUGAGCGUCACCCAUUCGUGUAUGUACUUGACUGUGUUUGAUGCUCUCUGUUUUUUUUUUUUUGGCUGUCGACGAAGCAGUGCACUGUAUCGCACCUGUGCUGUAAUGCCAAUGAGGAUUGGUAAACCUCAUACACCUGUGUGCUGACGGUCGUGGCGGAAGGUGGAGGGUUGCGAGAGAGAAGGAGAGAGAGUUCUGUUGCGGCUGUGUGUUGUGUGCUGCUUGGCUGUGCGACACCAGCCGGUGUGAUGUGGACUUCCUCCUUUCCUUGCGCCCCGCCAGUCGGUGCGUGCGUCAGAAGCAGAGGUCUUGCCCUGUGGUGUCCCCUUCCCCCAUCUCCAGUGGCUUUUGACCUCCUUCCACUCGCUCUGUGUGCAUACGCGUACGCGUGUGUGGGGGGAGAGGAGGGGGAGAUUUGGGAGAAGAGGGGAGACGGAGCGAGGGAGGAGGAGGAGGAGGAGGGGGGCGUACACAGCGUGGCCCCUCCACCCGCCCCCCGCCACACUCUCCUCCGACAGAACGCUGCGCUUCACAUAUAUGUAUGUAUUAUGGUUCUCUGCGCUCACAGCGGAUGCAAGCGCGUAUCUGUCGCGUUUAGAGCGUAACGUGCUCGUGAGG